UACGUAGGGUGCAAGCGUUGUCCGGAAUUAUUGGGCGUAAAGAGCUCGUAGGCGGUUUGUCGCGUCGGCUGUGAAAACCCGAGGCUCAACCUCGGGCCUGCAGUCGAUACGGGCAAACUAGAGUGCGGUAGGGGAGACUGGAAUUCCUGGUGUAGCGGUGAAAUGCGCAGAUAUCAGGAGGAACACCGGUGGCGAAGGCGGGUCUCUGGGCCGUAACUGACGCUGAGGAGCGAAAGCAUGGGGAGCGAACAGG
rnacentral:rRNA from 1 species